UACAUCAUCUGAGCGAUUUAUAGAACAAAGUUAUAAGAAUCAUGCCACAUAUAUAAUGUACCUUUAAUCGUUUGUUUACUUAGCAAACGCCUUCAUAGAUAUCAUAUCAGCCAUAACAGCAAUACAUUUCUGUCUCUUACAUAUUACAGCCUGUAGUUUAACUAGAGCACAUACUUGAGGUAUUCGUGCGAUAACACAUUUCACAAAUCAUAAAGGAAAGUGUGAACAUAAGUGUGUGCUUUAAAAACAUAUACUUGGAAUGCUUCAAAAGCGUUACUUUCUGGUAGACAUGUCAGCUCCGGACCAGACUGCGCAUAUAUUCAGGGAAAGAAGAAGUGCACUAGCUAAAUUUAGAAUAGAAUCAGGCUGACACGAGGGAUUACCCGAACAUGAACGACUUGCUGCCACUGCCUCACAUAUAUAGAAAAAACGGAACAUGUGUUAAUGUUAUUACGUAACAAGUGUGACAGAAUUCGCCUAGAUAUGUUUGUUAAUAUUAUGAAUAUUGAACCUGGUUUCUUAUUGUAUACAUUUCAUAACAAUUUUUGCAGUGCAUGUCUAAUAAGUUCUUUGUUAAAUACACUGCCUAAGCCUACAAUCACAUUUUAAUACCUCUUAAAAACUAUAUAUAUUAUGAUACUUUUACACUGUUGUCAAUCUUUUAGAGUGUUUUAAUGAUGUUUAUAUUACGUUUUAUCUGUCCAUAGUCUCUUGUAACCAUCAUUGAGUGGAUUUGUACAUUUUAUUGUAAAUAUUUUAAUUAAACUAUAUUUUGUUAUA